GGAUUGAACUUGGGACCAUGUACUUGUGAAGCAGGCGUCAAUCCCCAGCCUCACAUGGAACUUAAAAUAACAGGAACCUCUAAAAAAUGAAGAGGAAUAGGCCUUAUCCUGUUUCAGUGAGCUAGGACCUUUCUCUUGAUUACUUCUCCAGGUGUGCUCCCUGUGGUGUCUGGCUGGAGAGCAUUGGUCUUCCUGCCCACCCGUCUUUAUCAGAGCAGGUGCAGCAUGAUGAGGCUUCCUGCCAACACUUUGCCAGUCCUGGAGAUACAGGUGGUGUUUUAUGAAACCUGGACUUUUCCUCUCCCCAACUCCUGUAGUUUAUUUGCACACUGCAAUCAUCCGGUAUCUGCUGAUGCUGCCUUUGUUGCUUUGCUGGAUUUGCCUCACCCAGAACCUUCAAAGUCACACACUACUCCACUCCAGGGACUCCCUUUCUCCUGGUUUGGGGAAACUUUUCCUCUCCAUGCAGCAGUGCCUCAGUGACGAU
ensembl:lncRNA